rnacentral:rRNA from 1 species
UUACGGGAGGCAGCAGUAGGGAAUCUUCCACAAUGGGCGAAAGCCUGAUGGAGCAACGCCGCGUGAGCGAAGAAGGUCUUCGGAUCGUAAAGCUCUGUUGUAAGGGAAGAAUAAGUGCAGUAGUAACUGGCUGCACCUUGACGGUACCUUACUAGAAAGCCACAACUAACUACGUGCCAGCAGCCGCGGUAAU